UCUAAGUUGAGAAAUAUGGUGGGUCUGUU
rnacentral:piRNA from 1 species